rnacentral:rRNA from 1 species
GGCGGGGGAUGCAGGCCUUAUCCGGAAUCACUGGGCGUAAAGCGUCUGUAGGUGGUGAUGCAAGUCACUGGUGCAAAACUCUGGCUCAACCGGAGGAAAGCCAGUGAAACUGCAUGACUAGAGUGUGGGAGAGGUAGAAGGAAUCCCCUGAGUAGCGGUGAAAUGCGUAGAGACAGGGAAGAACACCGGAGGCGAAAGCGUUCUACUGGAACACAACUGACAAUGAGAGACGAAAGCUAGGGGAGUGAAUGGG